AGGAGCUUCACCUUGAUAACAGCUUUACUUCUCUGCAGCCUCAUCGUCAUUGUUCUGGCUGUUAAAAUCAGGAAACUUCAGACAGCUGUGAAUGAAGAACUGCAGCCAGAAAGAAACAAGGAUCUGGGCUCAGAUGAACUGAACUACGCAGCUCUAAAUUUCCAGGCGAAACCCAAAAGAAGCCGCAGGCCUGCAUCAGAGAGAGAGCUGGAGCCACAUGUUGUGUAUGCUGCCACCAGGUA